rnacentral:lncRNA from 1 species
UCUCUUAAGUAGUAUUUCUGGAUCCUUACCAAGGCAGUAAGUUGUAUGCCUUCUCUCAAAGUAUGUGGUAUUUUUGGUAUGAGGCAUAGUGGCAUUGCCUUCUCUCUCACCCUACUCUAAUAAGGUUUUGAUAUCUGAAGCUCAAAGGUGGGAGAUAGCUAAUACAUACUUACAAGACAUUUAUUGCAUAGUCAAACCAUGGAUCCAGAAGAACAAGUCAAUAAGUCAAAUCAAGAUGUGCAUGUGUGGUGAAUGAAUGGUAUAUGGUGAUGAUGGUGAUAACAAUGGUGAAAGUCUAAUUCUAUGUUUGCUCUUUUGAGGGGAUACAUACCUUUCUUGCACCUUGAAGCUUUUUGAGGGGAAUGAGAUGUUCUAUAUUUUUUUUCUUUUCUCUCAGAUGGGUAUCUUGUACCCCUAAUUCUACUGUCGGACACUUGUCCAUUUUUACCUCUUGUCUCACUUUUUCUUUUCUUCGAGGUUUCGGGCACUUGCCCCUUUUUAUUUCCUCGUAUUCACUUUUUUUCGAGCACUCAUCCUCCUAGAAUAAUGUAGCAAGUGGUAGUAACCAAAAUAUCUUGAGCAUUUAUUUCACAGGGAAAAAUAGGAAUAGGAGAAUGUUUUUGGCUAUUCUCUCCCAGAUUAGGAGUAGAAUAUUUUUGGGUGGUUCUGUAGAUGGAAAUGGAUGGAUAUAUGUGGAUGCAUACUUCCGAAGUAGAAGCAGCAUGUGUGAGUGAAUGUGCAAGUGAAUCUUGAUUUAACCACAUGACAAGCUCCUAAGGGUUUACACAGCUUGACCACACUCAAUGCUCAUAAGCAGUAAAGUAAAUGUGUGGCUCAAAGUUAAGCAAGCAUGUAUAUAUGGCUGUGGUAGGAAUUUAAACUCUCAUCAUACAAGAACUCAUCAUGUGUUAUUUUAAAUAUUUUCAAAGAUAAAAUUCUCUAGAAUUCUAACAUCUCUAAGAAUAGAUAAACAGCAGCUCAACCUUCCCAAAUCAUAUCCGUUAACGACUUAGACUUCAGAUCAAGUACUCUUCCCACAAGUUCAGGUUUAGAGUAAAUCUUAAUUAAUAACAGUCAGGCCUAAACUUGAGAGAGAUUUCUAUUUUAAGAAGUAGUCAUGGCAGAGAAACUAUUCAUCAUUUCCAUGUGAGAGCUUAUCAUGAGGGUUCAUAGCAAAUUUUAUUUAUUUAUUUAUUUAGCAAACUAAGCAAAGAUAUAAGCACAAAAUCUUUAUUUGGGUUUUUAUGAUUAUGCAUUUUUUAUUAUUUGAGUAAAAUAUAAACGUGAGUAGAACACUUAGCUGGAUAAAUGGGGGUGCUCUCCCCCAAGCUGGAUUUUGACAUAAUUUCUUCUGAUGUAACUAGCAGGUGGCGGAGGUGUUUUUGAAUGUCGACAGCAUCCUGACAGCGGUUAGGAUUUCCUCCGUCUGCUAGUCUUCUUUGAUCCUUGAAUUCUGUGGAGCUCAAAUAGACAACAAAGCUUUGUGGAACUGGUUAAGUGUUAGCAUAAAUAUCUAGUCUUUAUCAUGUUGAGCCUCCUCAAUAAAUGUUACACUCUUUGGUAGGUUUAUAAAUUUAUUUCUAUAUUUACAUUUUUAUAGCACAUAGAUAUAUUUAUUUUAUUUUUAUGCCACCAUAGUGAAUGUACUUAUGGGUUUUAUGCCAUGAGCAUACUCACAUGGGGCUUACUAUUUUUAAUAUUUUUAUUUUCUUUUCAAAAUGAUAUGAACCUGAUUAACUAAGCAAACUAUUUUAAAUAAUUGAAAGGAAAUGGAUAACUACCAAGUUUACCUCUUGGCAAGGCGCUCGGUGUUUUUAAGUUCUCCGAACGGGACUCUCUGUUUUCUCAGUCGUCCUGGGAUUCGCUGGAUGACGUAGUCGGUGGUUUCGGCGGUGCCUGCUCUUCAUGUAUGACUAUCUUCUCUCUCCACACCUAACUCGGUGCUACGGUCUCCUCAGGACAGUUCUGUUCAAGUUGUAUGUCUUCAGACCUUACCCCUUCUCCUUCAUAGUCCGCCCAUCCGUCCUUGAUGAUUUGCCAUCUCUGGUUGCGGUUGCGUCGUCUUCUUUGUCCUGACCUGCUUGGAGUCUUCAAUUAUAUAGUUAGGGUCAGUAAAAUAGCGGCGUGCCUUCUCAGAGGGGAAGUGCAUGUGGACUUCUCCGGUUCCAAUGUAAAUGAUUGCUUUAACAGGGUUGAGGAACGGUCUUCCAAGGAUGAUGGGUGGAUUGUACUCGUCUUCUCCCAUGUCAAUAACCUUCAAUCUUUCGGAAUGUCUGAUCUGCCAUCUGGAGCUGAAUGUAUGUCGGUUUUAUCGGCAUGGUUCCGAAUUGGAGCUGAUAGGUGACUGGGUCGUCCUUUUUGGUCAGGAACGGUGACUUAAGUCGACGAUCUUGACAUCCUUGAACUGCAGUGACCAUCUUAGCUGACUCGGUCCACAUUUGCUUGUUUCUGUUCUUCCUGUUGGUCCCCUUCCUUGGUUCAUGUCGGGAAUGCUCUGAGAUUUGUGUAGUCUUGUUCUUGAAGGAAAACGUCUCCUUCCGCCCCUUGAUGUAGAAACUGAUCUUGGCAGCACUAGCGUAGAUGACAGCUCC